AUACGGAGGGUGCAAGCGUUACUCGGAAUCACUGGGCGUAAAGCGCGCGCAGGCGGCUUGAUAAGUCGGAUGUGAAAGCCUACGGCUCAACCGUAGAACUGCAUCCAAAACUGUCAAGCUAGAGUCUGGGAGGGGAAGAUGGAAUUAGUUGUGUAGGGGUAAAAUCCGUAGAGAUAACUAGGAAUACCAAAAGCGAAGGCGAUCUUCUGGAACAGUACUGACGCUGAGGCGCGAAAGCGUGGGGAGCGAACAGGAUUAGAUACCCCAGUAGUCC
rnacentral:rRNA from 1 species